rnacentral:rRNA from 1 species
CGGCUCAGGAUGAACGCUAGCGGCAGGCCUAAUACAUGCAAGUCGAACGGUGUCUUCGGACAUAGUGGCGCACGGGUGCGUAACACGUAUGCAACCUACCUUACAUUGGGGGAUAGCCUUUCGAAAGGGAGAUUAAUACCGCAUAAGACAGUAGCUGGGCAUCCAGCAGCUGUUAAAGAUUUAUCGAUGUAAGCUGGGCAUGCGUCCAAUUAGCUAGUUGGUGAGGUAACGGCUCACCAAGGCAAUGAUUGGUAGGGGAACUGAGAGGUCAAUCCCCCACACUGGCACUGAGAUACGGGCCAGACUCCUACGGGAGGCAGCAGUAGGGAAUAUUGGGCAAUGGACGCAAGUCUGACCCAGCCAUGCCGCGUGCAGGAUGAAGGCGUUAUGCGUUGUAAACUGCUUUUAUACAGGAAGAAACGACUCUUGCGAGAGGCAUUGACGGUACUGUAUGAAUAAGCACCGGCUAACUCCGUG